UGCCCAGGGGGACAAUCACUUCCCUAGUCCUGCUGGUCACACUAUUCCUGAUACAACCCAGGAUGACAGGAGCAGAGCUGAGGGGAGCAGGGCUAUGGAAUGCAGCUGUCACAAGUUGGGAGAUGUGAUGGGUUGCAGGGGAGCUCGAGAUUUUAUGAGGGGCAUGUUGUACAGGCUGGAGUGAGGGUCACUUGGGGUACAGGGUGAUUCCUGGCUGCCCCAUGGCUGAAGGACACUGUGGGGCGAGGCGAGGAGGUGAUGGGACGUGGCCCUGGAAGUUCCUGUGUUUUCCCAGCACGCCUAUAACCUGUCUCCCGCCUCCUUUGCAGGAGUCACAGCAGCCCCAGGCUGUCACCUUUGUGAGGCAGUGGUGAUUGUCAGCAUGUCUUCUCCGUGACUCUGUCUCCCUUUUGGUUGCACAGCUCUGAAAGUUGCCUGUUCAUAUUCUUACACGCAUAUGACCUUUUUGUGGCCUCCUGUGAAAAAACUGGUUUACCCUAAAACUCAGAAUACAGGCAGGAAAUGGUGAAUGUGUUGUUGAAUAUACUCUGAGUGCCACCGCAGCUUCUGGAAAAGCAGUGUGUGGUUACAAUGGGUUGAGGUCUCUUUUGGUUCCUGGUGUAAGUUUGCUUCAUAAAUUAAGGCAAAUAAUUUACAUUCCUAUGGUUUUCCUUUUUAUUAUGAGGACAGAUUAGUAAUUCUGCAAAACCUGUUAAGUUACUGGUGCUGAGUAACAAUGAGAUCAGCUCUAUGUAAAACAUCCUUUAAUAGCACAGAGCACAAAUAAUCACUCUAUUUUAAAUUUCAUCCUAAAAACUGAGAAAACGACAUGCCUAUAGCUUCAUGAUUGACUGAAGUAGAUCUGAAUUUCAUUCUGUUUAUCCUGCUGACAGGUUUAUUCUGAAUACCAUAUAGACUUCUCUCUAAUGGCUUUCACAUAUGUAUCAGUUAGGCAGGUUGUGCUACCUGCCUGUUCCAGCUGUGAAGUGGUUCUAAAGAUGGGGUACAAUAGGCUGAAUAAAGUGACACGCCUCUGAUUCACCUUGAUUUAUGGAAUGUAGUAGGUGUGGCAAAGCACAAGAGUGUGAAAGAGGGAAAAAACCAACUCCAGUCAGCAGCAAAGGAAAAUCUGGGUGAAGGUAAAUCAGCAUUACUGCAGUGGGGUCCCGGAUUCGUGAACCAGCCCCUCAAGCAGAAUCUAGGUCACUGUUAGCUGAGCCAUAAAUGGAUUUCUGGAGUCCUGCUUCAAGGAUGUGUUGACUCCUGUGUGAAACAGUGUCAUGACCAACAUCUACUAAACCACCUUCUUCUGAAAUGGUUCUUCUGUGUGUUUUGUUUUCCUUGCUACAUCACAAAUAGAAUACAAAUAAAGGGCUGUGAACUACUGAAGCUACUUGUGUCACUGAUGGAUGAGUUGAAGUUUCUAGGAUUGUGGAAUGUCUGGAAGACAUUCAAGUUAUUUGCUUUAAUAGAGGUCUACCCAGGUAAAAGGCUUAAGAAUCUGUAUUAAAUAGUGUCAUGUGGCUUUUUACCUCAAAUUAUUAAUCUCCGAGCAGAUGUGAGGAUUGCUGUUUAGGGGUCUGACAUUCUUGUUACUUUUCCUUCUUUCCACCCUUCUCUUCCACUCUGGAGGUGAGGGCUAACUGACUUUAGCAAUGCAGGAAUUUCUUCUGCUUGUCGUUUUAAAAUAAGUCCAGGUGGGGAUGCUGAUUUCUGUCAGGGUGACAGGGUGAAAAGAUAAAGUUUCAGUAGUAGCUUCAGUGGUCUCAUUUUAACAUGCUCUUCCCAACGUGCCAGGGCCCUGACUGUAUCUGCUGUCCUUCAGAUAAAAUCAAGUUGUCUAAGUGAACAACUUAAAUACCAAUAAAUGUCUGUGUGUGUUUGAGCUGCUGAACUGAUCUCUGUGUUUCUCUGCAGAGUGAACCUGGCAGUUGUCUACAUUCCUAGCGUGAGUUUUGAUGUCCAUUUGUGGGCUUCUAAAUGUAGAUGAGUCCCAACUUUGCUGCCUAAACAGACAUAUCUGUUUAAGGGACCACUGAUGACUGGGUUUUGCAGUAAUAAAGACCAUCUCCAGAGUAUACUUAAUUUCCUUUGGAUGUAAUUAUUUCCAUCUCUUUUUAUCACAUACUUUGAGGUACCCAUUGCUGUCCAUUGGACUGUAGAAAGAAUCAGUGAUUUGCCUACUCUAGGUACUGGACACUAACAGAACUGUAACUUGUGUCUUAUGUAUGCUAACUGGAGUUGUAGUCAUGUCAGCUCUGGGAUGUCUUGCUUUAAAAAGAUAGAGGUUAGAGUAAAAAUGGAAAUUCAGUCAUAAAGUAAA